GGAAUAUUGGUCAAUGGGCGCAAGCCUGAACCAGCGACGCCGCGUGCGGGAUGAAGGGGCUUUGCCUCGUAAACCGCUGUCGGAUGGGACGAAAGAUAGCUUUGAGCUAUUGGGACGGUACCAUCAAAGGAAGGAUCGGCUAACUACGUGCCAGCAGCCGCGGUAAUACGUAGGAUCCGAGCGUUGUCCGGAGUUACUGGGUGUAAAGGGUGCGUAGGCUGUUCUGUGCGUCAGAGGUGAAAUCCACGGGCUUAACUCGUGGGGUGCCUUUGAUACGGCAGGGCUUGAGUACGAGAGAGGUGCGUGGAAUUCCUGGUGUAGCAGUGAAAUGCGUAGAUAUCAGGAGGAACACCGGUGGCGAAGGCGGCGCACUGGCUCGUAACUGACGCUGAGGCACGAAAGCGUGGGGAUCAAACAGGAUUAGAUACCCUGGUAGUCCACGCCUUAAACGAUGCAUGCUUGGUGUUGGUCUCGCAAGAGAUCAGUGCCGUAGUUAACAUGAUAAGCAUGCCACCUGGGGAGUACGAUCGCAAGGUUGAAACUCAAAUGAAUUGACGG
rnacentral:rRNA from 1 species